CUGGGCUUGACAUGUCCCUGACCGCCGUGGAAACACGGCUUCCCUUCGGGGCAGGGUCACAGGUGGUGCAUGGCUGUCGUCAGCUCGUGCCGUGAGGUGUUGGGUUAAGUCCCGCAACGAGCGCAACCCCCGCCUUUAGUUGCCAGCGAGUAAUGUCGGGGACUCUAGAGGGACUGCCGGCGUAGAGCCGGAGGAAGGUGGGGAUGACGUCAAGUCAUCAUGCCCCUUAUGUCCAGGGCUGCACACAUGCUACAAUGCCGGCCACAAUGGGCUGCGACCUCGCAAGGGUGAGCGAAUCCCAAAAAAGUCGGCCAAGUUCGGAUCGGGGUCUGCAACCCGACCCCGUGAAGUCGGAGUCGCUAGUAAUCGCGGAUCAGCAACGCCGCGGUGAAUACGUUCCC
rnacentral:rRNA from 1 species